GGAAAUCGUCGCCAUUGUCAUCAUCAACCUUCUUCCCUCUCCAAUUCCAUGAAGCUCUUCAUCGUUCAUGAGUAAUCUAUUCGUAGGCUCGCUGGGCGGUGAUGAGUAGGAUGAGAUCUAUCAUGUAGUCGAGUUAGUUUUGACGGGGAUUGAUCCCUAGUAUCCACUAUGUUCUGAGAUUGAUGUUGCUACUACUUUGCCAUGCUUAAUGCUUGUCACUAGGGCCCGAGUGCCAUGAUUUCAGAUCUGAAAUUAUUAUGUUGUCGCCA
rnacentral:lncRNA from 1 species